UAUUCUUCCACACAUCACCCUCGUCGUCAACGAAUGCGUUUUUAACAGUUGAGGGAACUUUGCUUCUAUUUGUGCUAGUGCGUCAUUAAUCUGGAAAGACAGAUCAUUUUCGUUAACAUUCUGUGUGGUAUAAUUGCGAUAGGUCUCUCAGCCAGGGAUACAGUGCGUUGUUAGAGAAUGCAAAGCAAAACCUGUUACCGUUCUAUUUCGUCAUACACUUGAUCUGCAUCGGAACACACCGUUCAACUUAUCAAAAUUUCACCACAACGAUGAUAACGCGAUUGAGUGUCACGAAGCGCCACAAAAUACCUGAACUGGUAUUUCUGGUAGCCGCCGUAGCGUUGCCGCUGGCAGUUGGUCGAAUCGUGGAUGAUAAUGUUGCCGGCUCGAACGUUCUACAGAACACAGACUUUCCGGCGUUACACCCUGCACCAAACGACACAUCGACCGCAGCUGACGCACAAGACGUGCAUCUAUUAAAUGUGACUGAGUACAAUAUCGAAGCUAACUCAAGCUCGAAUUGGACAGGAAGCCACCUGCCUGCGUACAGUGUGGCACAUGGAUCAAGCAACUUAAACACAGUAAAAUUGCCUGCCGUUGGCAAUUCCUCUGCGGUAGU